rnacentral:piRNA from 1 species
UUCAACACAUUGAAAACUGGACCUUGGUAGU